CUAUACUCUUAUAAGUACGAUCGUCUUCGUACCCAUAAGUUGUUUUUGAUGAUAGAGCUUCCGAAUCGACGAUCCAUACCGUUAAACGUUAGAAAAUUCUAUUCACUAUCUAGAUAAAGAUCAAUAAGUCCGAUCUUAAAAUGAGGGAUCCGAUCAUUCAAUUUUAGGACGUCGUUCGAUUUUGACCGUUUAUUUUCUGCCAGAUUGAUGGACUUCAUUACGAGUAUAGAGCCCUUCGUACUCAUAAGUUGUUUUCGAUUAUGGAGCUUCCGAAUUGACGAUCCUCUCCGUUUAAUAUGAUCUAGAGUAUUUGAAACUUUUAAAAAAUAAAUUUUGUAAUUUUGCGAAAUCAUAAUGAAGUCCAUCAAUCUGGCAUAAAAUGAAUGGUAAAAAUCGAACGACGUCUUAAAAAUGGAUGAUCAAGUUCUUCAAUUUAAGAUCAGACUUAUUGAUCUUUAUCUAGAUAGUGAAUAGAAUUUUCUAACAAAAAUUCAACCGAUUCUGAUUUUUUUACACCGUUAAACUAGCAAGUAUUCCAUACCAGCCGUUAAAAAUUGUCAACUUUGAGAUCUUUUGAUCGUAAGGUAAAUGAUGUCAAAAAUUUAUAAAAGUUGAUUUUUAGAAGUUUUAAAUGCUCUAGAUAACGUUUAGCGGUAUGGAUCGUCGAUUCGGAAGUUCUAUCAUCAAAAACGAUUUAUGAGUACGAACGCGACCGUACUCAUAAGAGUAUAGUAGCCGAACUCUCUCUCUCUCUCUAUAUAUAUAUAGAGAGAGAGAGCAGGGCUACUAUGCUAUUAGGAGCACAACAGUCCUCGUGCUUCUAACUUUCUAACCGGUUAGGAUAAGAGAUAAAAAAGAAAUUGGAGAGAAAUUCAAAAAGAAGAGAUAUUGAGACACCCAAUUUCUUCCCAAUUUCUUUUCUCUUCAUCCUAACCACUUAUCAAAAUUGAUGGGUGGUUAGAAAGUUAGGAGCACAAGGACUGCUGUGCUCCUAAUAACACAGUAGCCCUACUCUCUCUCUCUCUAUAUAUAUAUAUAUACAUAUAUUUAUAGAAUUAGGCUACUAUACUAUUAAUAGCACCAACUCAUUGGUGCUAUUAGGUUUUCAACCCUUGGAUGGAUGUGCUGUUGGGAUGAUAGUGGUCUUCUAGGGUUGAGUGGGUGGUUUGUUGAAUAGUAUGAUCUAACGGAUGGAAAUAGUCAAAGAGGUAGAUCUAACGGUAGAAAAUUUGGUAGCACAAAGCGCUUGGUGCUAUUGAUAGCUUAGUAGCCGGACUCUCUCUCUCUCUCUCUAUAUAUAUGUAUAUAUAGAGUCCGACCACUAUGCUAUCGAUAGUACCAAUCUCUUGGUACUAUUGAAUUUUCUGCCGUUAGAUCUGUCCUUAAACUAUUUCCAUCCGUUAGAUCAUAAUAUUUCACCAACUACCCACUCAACCUUAGGGGACUACUAUCGUCCUAACUUGGGACCACUAUCAUCCUAACCGCACAUCCUUUCAUCCAACGGCCGAAAUUUGAUAGCACCAAGCGUUUAGUAUUAUCGAUAGUAUAGUAGCAUAAUUCUAUAUUGCAUACAGUUUCUUGUAAAUAUAAUGAAUUGCAAAUAUAUCCCUACAAAGUUCAACUUUCUUAUAUUAUCCCUGCAAAAGUCCUAUUGUUUUCAAAUAUGCCUUUGCCGUUAGGAUCCAAUAGAAAAUUUAUUUAACCAUAGGUAAAAUACUUAACCCUAGUUAGUCAGUGAAAUAAAUUGACAUUUUUAUCCCUUUUAUAUUGUACCUUUUUCUCUCAAUCAAAAUCCUAGCAAUGGGAACUUUUCUUCUUCUUUCUCUUCCUUUUUUUUUCAUACUAGUUUCGAACUCGUAACUAGAAUUUCUCCUUCCCUAUUCAUCCAUGAUGUAUGUUGCUUUGCCCAUGUUGAACGCGUGUUACUUCCUCAUUCAAUUUCCUCUAUAAUUUUUUUUUUAUUUUGCUCAAAAGAAAAGGUUUAAAAGAACAGGAGUGAGAGAAGAGAUGUUGUAACAAUGGUGGAUUGGAUUGAAUUUUAAAAAGGAAGAAAAUGAGGAAGAUGACCAUUGAAAAUUUUCUGGGGGGACAUUUAUGCAUGAUUAUAGCAGUUGGGGCUUUUGGAAGGACAUAUUUGUGAUGGGAAAAUUAACAUUUUACUUAUCUGCUGUUAAAAAAUAAACAAUUCUCUAACGAUAACAACCUAGAGGGACAACUAUGAAUAUUAUCGAACUUUUGCAGGGAUAAAAGUUAAAAGUUGAACUUUGUAGGGAUAUAUUUGCUGUUCACUAUGUUUACAGGGAGCUGUAUGCAAUUAACUUUAUAUAUAUAUAGAACUAGGCUACUAAACUAUUAAUAGCACCAGGUAAUUGGUGCUAUUAGGUUUUCGGCCCUUAGAUGAAGGGAUGUGUGGUUAGGAUGAUAGUGGUCUCCUAGGGUUGAGUGGGUGGUUUGUUGAAUAGUAUGAUCUAAUGGAUGGAAAAGGUUAAAGGGGUAGCUCUAACGGUGGAAAACUUGGUAGCAUCAAGCGCUUGAUGCUAUUGAUAGUAUAGUAGACGUACUCUCUCUUUCUCUCUCUCUCUCUCUCUCUCUCUCUCUAUAUAUAUAUAUAUAUAUAUAUAUAUAUAGUAAGUCUCCUGUACUUUCGAAAGUACAGAGACCUCCGUGCUUGUAAGUUGUUUUCGAUGAUAGGAAAUCCGAUUCGACGAUCGGCUCCGUUAAGUAUAAUCUACCCUAUUGGAAUUAUUUAGAAACCAAAUUUUAUAAUUUUUUGACAUCAUUUACCAAGCGAUCAAAAGGUCUAAAAAAUGACUAUUUUAAUGGCCGAUGUGGCACGUUUUUAAGUUCAACGGUGUAGAAGCAUCCAAAUUAGAUGAAAAUUUAAUAGAAAAUUCUACUUAACAUCAAUAGUAAGACCAAUACUUCCGAUUUGAAAUUUGAGUCAUUUAUCACUGUUUUUUAUGAUAUUUUCAUUUUUAGCCGUUCAUUUUGAGGGUACUCGUUUACUAGACAAACGAAAUCAAAAAAUUAUGAAAUUUGGUUUCUAGGUAGUUCCAACAGCGUAGAUCAUGUCUAACAGAACCGAUCGCCAAAUCGGAUGUCCCAUUAUUGAAAACAACUUACAAGUACGGAGGCUCCCGUACUUUCGAAAGCAUAGGAGCCUAGCUCUAUAUAUAUAUAUAUAUAUAUAUAGUGCAACUACUAUACUUUUAUGAGUAUAGUAGCUGUUGUACUCAUAAAUUUUUAGUCAUCAGAUCUACUUCAAGAUCUGUGCAGAUUUGAUGGCUUAAUUCAUUCCAAUUAAUCUUUAUAAUUAACUCUUUUAAUUAAUUUCUAACCCCUUAAUUAAUCCUUGUAAGACAUUCCAUUCUCGUCCUCUUCCUCUAGCACCGCCGACGCCCACCCCUACCUCCGCUGCCACUCCAAACCCCCCACCUCAACUUAUCCUCUGACAGCCCCCUUCCCUCCUACCACGAUUCCCGGUGGCAGCAGAGACGAAGACGCCUUUCUUGGAAACGAAGAAGGCGCCCACGGGAUGGCGUCGACCACGCCGGCCACGACGGCGUCAAAUGUGGCGAGGAUGUCAGAGUCGAAGCCCCCUUGCCCAGCAGACCUUGUAGAUGGCGAGAGGCCCCUUGGGUGCCAUCCUGGCAGAACGGAAGGUGGUGGGGGGCGACGAUAGUUCUAGGGAAAGAUUGGGAAGAAGAGGAAGAGGUUAAUUGAGGGGUUAGAAAUUAAUUUGAAGAGUUAAUUAGAAUGGAGGAGUUAAUUAGGAUAGGUUAGUUCGGAUGAGUUAGCCAUCAGAUCUACACAGAUCUUGAAGCAUACCUGAUGGCUAAAAAUCUAGAAGUACAACAGCUACUAUACUCAUAAGAGUACAGUAGCUGCACACACACACACUCUCUCUCUCUCUCUCUCUCUAUAUAUAUAUAUAUAUAUAUAUAUAGUUGAGCUGGAAUGCUAUUUGUAGCAAACGGGCUCUGUUGUCACCCAUUUGUUUUCAAUGAUAGAGCCUCCAAAUCGACGAUCGGUACCGUUGAACAUGAUCUAUACCACCUGAAGCAUCUAAAAAUCAAAAUUUAUGUUUUUUCGAUAUUGUUCUCUUGUCCAUCAAGUGGACACAGAAAUGAACGGUUGAAAAUGAAUAUCCUUAAAAAGUGAUGAUAGUAGUCUUGUAAUCAAGAUCAAGAGUGUUAUGCCCCGAGCCAGUCUAUUUGGUCGGUUCGGGCACGUCAUCAGACGCCGAACGGACAACACCUCCCCUGUCCGCCCAAGGCUCAACAAGACGUCAACAUGUAUAUAGUUAUUACACAGCGGAAACAUAAGCAUAUACAUAGUUUGCACGAGGGCAAGCAAUAGCCAAAAGUGAAAGUCUAUACUAUUACAUCCAUACAAGUACUAUAAUUAUCUUUUAACACAUACAUGCACAGUACAUUACAUUCUUUCAUUCUUUUUCUUAUACAUCACAUACAUCUCCAAAACAUAGCAUUUCUUUCAUCCAAACAUAAGCUUUUACAUUUACAUCAUUUAUACAGUUUGCAUCAUCAAGUACAAAAGAUGAUAAAACUGGUAUGAAGCUAUACUCGGGUGGUUACUGUCUAAGGUGCGAUACCUUUACCGCGAUCGUCGACCGGCUCGCUCGGCCCCGGCUCUGUAGAUGAUAGUGGGGUGAGAACUACAACGAAGUUCCCAGUAGGUUCGGCCUCCGACCUCGCCGACUUUUCCACUAGGUUUAAAUCAGGCAUAAGUAGAAGAAUAAAGCAGAUAGAUAGGUAAUCAUGCUAUACAAAUGCAACUAAUAUGUCUGAACAAAUACAAUCAAUGUAAGGAUGCUCAUGAUGCAUGCAAGGUCCAUAUCCAAUACCCAAUCCUCUUGGCUAACCCGUAGGUUUCGCCCACGACUCAACAACUCAAAUCCCUACUAUCGGGGAGAUACUCACUACAACCCGACGGGACCGUCCUCUUGCGAGAUACUCGCUACGAUCCAGUGAUGACUACUUCGGAGCUCAUCGCUUGAUGGGGUGCGACCGCCCUCAAGCCAAGACUUAUAGGUGAGUAUGAUCCAAUCCUUAGCUAUAAGGAUGUCAAGUUCAAUCCGAUCCUUAACUAUAAGGAUAUUAUGCUCACUCAAAUCUUUAACUAUAAGGAUGCCACAACUAUGAGGUUGUCAUGUUCACACAUGCCACAAUGCCAAAUAUCUCAUUCUUUAUACUCAUUAAUGCCACACACACUAAGUGUUUCAUGCUCUAGCAUUUACUAUACUCAUUAAUGCCACACACUAAGUGUUCCACUCUCUAGCAUUUAUUAUGCUCUUUAAUGCCCCAAGGUGCUACUCUACUCAUGUCAUAAUGUCACUAUGUUCUUUACCUCACUAGGUUCUUGUCACAAUUCACACAUUCAUAGGGUUUACAACUUGUUCAUUAGCUCACUAACAUCUCAUAUGCAUCUUGUACUCAAAGCAUGCAAGCAAUAUAUUCUCAAUUCAACCCUGUAAUGCAUGAAAUUCAUAUACACAUAUAUGCUCAAGAAGUGACAUUUAGACAUACACGGAAAUUCAAUGAUUUCGGAUAGCACCACCCACCUCGUAGGGUUGCUAGGGUGCUAGGAUUCAAGUCUCGGAAUUUUUAGCCGCCAAUUUUCCUUGACUGCGGCAAAACAAAGGCAAAAUAGGCUUUUUCCUUGAUUUCUUCGCGUAGACUCGUCGGAUCUUCAAACCGAGUCCACCAACGCGUCGGUUUACACGUCAAUUAGGGCUAUAAGAGAUCAAACCCUAGUUAGAUCUCAUAUUUACCAAAACCCCAUUUGUCACGCCUCGAGCUCCGCCAAUUUGGUCAGAUUCGGGCACGCCGACAGACCGCCGAACGGACAGAGCUUUCCCUGUACGUCCUAGGCGUCACAAUCCAUUUGAUGCAACAGAAGAGGUCCCAACCAGGAACAACAUUCAAACAUAGAUUGUAUAAGUAUCAAAAACAUAAAAGGCUAACUAUGCUAUUACAAGCAUAGUCUCAAGAUUUUACAUUUAGAAAAUUACAUAAGCCUUUAUACAAUUUACAACUUAUACAAUUUACUACAAAUUUGUUUCUUUCAAUUUACACUCUAAACUCUGAUGCUAGACCACUUCAAGGUACUGCUAUCUCUGGUCUCAGUGGUAGGGCGCUCUGUCUACGGAGCUACGCCCUGUCCUCGCGCCGCCGUGCCGCUCACGUGCUAACCUGUACCCCCAAAACAACACGGGAGUGAGAACUAUAAAUAUAGUUUCCAGUGGGUACGGCCACCCAAGGGAAGAGCUCGACCCACCAGGUCCAAAGGAGGCAUUGUAACAUGUUAGUCCAAUAGAUAAUAAUCACAGAUAAUUUAUGCAAAUAUUAAAACAUGUAUGCCUCGCGAUAUGCAAUAUGUAAAUCAUGCAAGAAUGUACUAUCAUAAUUGUAUCUCUUGAUUCUACUUUAUUUCAUUAACCACUCUUUACUUGUAGCCGUUCUUUUCUUUAUUAGCUAUUCACGUUCAUUAGCUAUUUUCUUUAUUCUUUACUCUUUGUCAUAUUGUGCUCAUUGGCGAUUCUUUCAUAAGGUUAUUUUACCUUAGCCAUCUAUGCCACUCGACUCGGUCUUGAGUCAAUCAUCCGCGGAGUACCGCGUCAAGUCAGGCUCGAGGUGGAGGACGUCUCACAAGCACCUCAGCCUUAAGUCCAUGCGACACUAGGUCAAUCACAGGGAGAGGAGAACCGUCGAUCCCCGUGACCCUAAGUCGCUCAAGCUUAACGGGCGAGGAGAACCGUCAAACCCGUUGAGCUCACACCGGGAGAGGAGAACCGUCGAUCCCGUUGAAUCACUACAGGGAGAGGAGAACCGUCGAUCCCGUAGUUCUGAUUCACUUGUUUCCUGGCAUACCGGGAGAGGAGAACUGUCGAUCCCGUUGAAUCACUACCGGGAGAGGAGAACCGUCGAUCCCGUAGUUCUGAUUCUAUUUUGCCAACAGCACCACUUCUAUGGAUUUCGGAACCCACUUUCACAACUUAAGGGUUUACUCUUUUACCCUAUGUCGACGACCUUUCUAGGUCUAUACCAUUCACUUUCUAGUGGUCCUAUUACCACUAUAAUUCAUAACUUAGUUUAAUUUUACUAAGUGUCUCUAUACAUCAUAACCUAGGUUCAUUUACGCUAGGUUUCAUGUUCUUUCACCUAGAUCUCGAUUCUAGGUUUACUAAUUCAACCUAUGUUCAAUGACACUAGGUUCAUUUCAUGUCCAACCUAUGUUCAAUAACACUAGGUUUAUUUCAUGUCCAAUCUAUGUUCAAUAACACUAGGUUCAUGCCACUCGAUCUAUUCAUUAUCCUAGUUAUCCACGCGUAGAAUUAUAAUUUGUACAUUUUCAUUUAUUUUGUUACCGUCAAGAUUUCUAAUCAACUAGAAUUAUCGACAUUCAUAUAGCUUGAACUAUAGUACAUUCACUUUCAUAUAUGUUUAGACAUAGGCAUCAAACUUUCACUUUUAUGUGGCAACAAUUAUGUAUGCUUUAGUAUUUAUGUUCACAUUUCAUAUUCAACUUACAUGCCCUUGGCAUUUAUAGGUUCAACAUUCAUAUACCAUAUGUUUGCUCAUAUGAAUUUAGCAUAACUAUGCAUUUAGCUUUCACGUUCAUAUAUCGACAAUUAUAUGUAUCUAGCACAAUCUACAAUAUAUUCUUAUGCCUCUAGCAUGUUCAUUAUCUGUUUACCAUUAUACAUCAUCUAGCAUUAACCAUAAUGCAUUCAUAUAUGCAUCAAAUGAAACCACGAUUUACUUUGGCAUGGAAGUGACCUAAUCACUUCGGUAAAGCACAACCCACCUUUAUUUGAUACCUGAACGCGAGAAAUCCACUUCCCGCACUUCCCGAGAACCGCGACCCGCGCUCGCGACAAUUGAUGCCGAAAACGUCCUUUUGGUGAUAUUUUUGCGUAGGCUCGAUGGAUUGCCGAGCCGACUUCGCCAACGCGUUUGUUUUACCUUCAAUUAGGUUUACACGCGACCAAUUUCACGUUAGGGUCUCAAUCCUACAAAAGUGCAUUAUUGAGUUUAGAGCUCUACAUAAACUGCCAUUACAUAACUUAAUACAAGAACAUAAGCAAUUUAAGCCUCAACCAAUUAAAAGCCUUGAACUAAGUAAUUUAUGAAUACAGGAGAUCCAUUCAUGCUAUAACCAUAAAUUUACAACCCUCAGAUUCGACCCAAGAGCUUACAUAUGCUAUUUAAUAUAGUUUCUCUAUAAGUUUACAUGUAACCAGAAGUAAGCUCUAGUAUCGACGAACAUUAGAAUCCAAGAAUUCUACUACCCAAAACCAAUUCCUUUAAGGUACAUACAUCUACUCUUAAUCAGGAAUUAUAAUUUACUCAUAGUUUUUCUCACUGUCAUAUUCUUCUAUGUAUACAUGUAGGCCUAUUCUAGGCUUUUCUUAGAUUUCCCAUGGCAAGAGCAGGUUCUAGAAUCCAAGAACCCCAACGUUCAACCUCUUCGUAGGGUAAAUAUUUCAACUUUAAUGAGGUAAUAACUAUAUCUCAGAUUUGGAAGCUUCAACAAUUUGCUUCCCAGUGCCAAGAACCACACAUAACCCAAGAACCUCAAUCAAUUAAUCUAAAGUAUUACAAGAGAUUAACUUUUAUUAUAUACAUAUUUCUACAGGUUUCAUAUAAGCCUUUGCUUGGUUUACUAGGAUAAAACCUUUACUAAUAACCAAGGAUCUACUACUCGAGCCCACAUCCAUUAACUUAGAGAUUUAUAUCGAUCUCUAAACCAAAUUUGUAAAAUAGCUCUCUUUAAUUUCCAACUGCCAAAGCUCAUGCAUGAUAGUAACCUGUACAGCUUGCUCCCAAUUCUAUAGUAAUAUGGUUCUUAGUAAUCUAAUAACCCAAGCUAAAUCCUAUUUACAACUUUAUCAAAUAGAGAGCAAUUAACUCACCUCAGGUUGAUAUAUCUUGCAGAUUACCACUACUCGGAAGCCACCUCACAGCCCAAAUCCAAUCCGCAUGGCAGCCACAACAACCUGAAAGUCACGAAAAAAUCGGUCGACGAAACGGUCUCAAAAUCGGCUCCUAAAUCACAUUAAAAUCGAUUUCUAAACUUCAAUUUUUGCAUAGAUUCAACAUAGAUCCAUCAAAACGACCUCUCCUAACAUCCACCAUCAAAAAUCCAUCAAAAAAUCAGAUUUGAAAUUAUAACAAUAAAAUACUAACUUCGCAGUCGAAGCGCCGGAAAAAUCCAACACGCGCGGGGGAUCAAUCGGCUCGUCAAACGACACCAAUUUCAUUACUUCUUCUUCUUCUCUUUUUCCCUUUUCUCCCUUUCCCUCUCUCUCUCAUGCGUACAGGGAGAGGAUAAGAAUGGAGGUUCCCCCUGGCAGCUUAGUGGAAAUCCACUAAGCAAUGUAACAAUUGCCUUUAGGUCCAUAGGUCAUUAAUAUUAUCACUUCAGUCCAGUUCUAGUCUGAUACAUUUAAUUGGAGCCCUUCUGAAUGUCCGUUUUCGCUCAAAUUUGACAGGCAUGUUCGGUAUUACAUAACAAGUCCAAAGAAAUUUUAACAUUUCAGUUUCGACCCCAUUUGGUCACCGCAAACUGUACCGAACUGUAAUCUUUAUCAGAUAGCUUUCGGAUUCUAUUUCUCUCUCUACGGGUGUCAGAAUAAUAUGAAACUUUAAAUCUAGCCUCAUAAAAAUAUUUCUGACAUCUCCUCCAGUUUUCAUAAUUUUCUGACACUGCAUUUUCUGCUAAUUUAUCAGUCCCGUUCUUUACAGAAAAUUCUAAAUCUUCUAUUUUCGCUCCGAUUCCAACACGAGUAAUUCCAGACUUAUAUUUUACACCCUUAAGUCCAAUAAAAUAUUAUCUCACACCAUUUUUAUAUUAUUUUGCUCACUUUAAUUCUUUUAAUCAAAGUUAGCAUCGGAAAUCCGAAAAUUCUUUUUACAUUUCGUUUCGCGCCCAAUUUGCGCCGAAACACUUAUUUAUCUCCAGAAUUCAUUCACACGCAUCACAAAUCACUCGGGGAUGAUGUCCAACUAGCUCAAUUCUCACUUUGAUCCCCCAGAUCAAAGUUGACAUCGCAACUCAAGAUUUCCAUAUAUUACACCAUUUCAACCCUAGGGUUUCCACUUUUGCCAAAUACUCACAUAACACAUGUAGAUUCACACAUAAAUCUGCCAUAUAUGCUUCUAGAUACAACUACUAGAAGUAAUUAACUCAAAACCCUAGCUUAGAGUCAUGUAAACCCACCUUUGGUUCCAAGCUUUCCUCUAAGCCCUUGUACAAUAGCAAUCUCCACCCUCAACUUGGUCUUCUUCUCCACCAAGACCGCUCCAAACCUCUCUUGGACAAACCCUAGUGAGAGAGAGAGAAGGAGAGAGUUUUAGAGAGAGAGAGGGAAUCCUCUUGGGUUGCAAGUGUGAGGGGAUGAGAGGAAAUGAGCCAAAACCCACUUAUAUACACUCCACUCUAACACAAUUGCAUAAAACCCCUCCAACAAGUCCCUUUUCAUACUGCCCCGAACUGGGCAGUUUCGGCUACGGGGUUCGGACCUUGCACAGAGGGUCCGGACCCCGAGAGCAUAUUUUCUGCGAAAUUUGCAGAAUUCACUCAUAAUGCUCUCCAAGGUCCUCUACACCCUUAAGUGCCAUUCCAACGCAUAUCGGACUUUCCGAAGCGCACUUUAGUCAAUUUGGCUAAAGUUCGGUAUAACCUACCGAAGUUUCGGUAUAUUACAAAGAGUAUAGAUCUUGUUCUAAAUAAUUUAAAGAAUUUUCUAACCAAAAUUCAAUUGAUUUGGAUAUCUUUACGCCUUUAAACGAGAAAACGUUUUAUAUCGACCAUUAAAAUUACAAAUUUUGAAAUCCUUUGAUCAUUAGGCCAAUGAUGUCGAAAAUAUUUAAAAUUUAGUUUCUAGAUACUUCAAGUGGUAUAGAUCAUAUUCAACGGUGCCGAUCGUCGAUUUGGAGAUUCUAUCAUUGAAAAUAAAUGGGUGGCAGUGGAGCUAAUAGUAUUUGGACUCUUUUACUAUCGAGUUUUAAACCCUUGGAUGAAAACUUAUAGGAUUAGGACGGUAGUGGUCCCCCAGGGUUUAGUUUUGGUCUUCUUAGGGUUGAGUGGGUAGUUGGGUGAAUUGUAUGAUCUAAAAGGUGGCAUUGAUUAAAGUGUAGAUCUAACGGCUAAAUAAUCGAUAGCAACAUGGCCCAAAUACUAUUAAUAGUAUUCCGGCUCAACUUUAUAUAUAUAUAUAUAUAUAUAUAUAUAUAUAUAUAUAGUUGAGUUGGAAUACUAUUAGUAGCAAACGGGCUCAAUUGCGACCCAUUUGUUUUCGAUGAUGGAGCCUCCAAAUCGACGAUUGGCACCGUUGAACAUAAUCUAUACCACUUGAAAUAUCUAGAACCAAAUUUUAAAUCUUUUCGACAUCAUUGACCUAAUGAUCAAAGAGUUCCAAAAUUUGUAAUGUUAAUGGUCGAUAUGAGGCGUUUUCUCGUUUAACAGUGUAACGAUAUCCAAAUCGAUUGAAUUUUGUUAGAAAAUUCUUUAAACUAUUUAGAACAAGAUUUAUACUCUCGAUCUUGAUUACAAGAUUUCUAUCAUCACUUUUUAAAGAAUAAUCAUUUUUAGCCGUUCAUUUUGUGUCCACUUGAUGGACAAGAAAACAAUAUCGAAAAAGCAUAAAAUUUGGUUUCUAGAUGCUUCAAGUGGUAUAGAUCAUGUUCAACAGCGCCGAUCGUCGAUUUGGAGGCUCCAUCAUCGAAAACAAAUGGGUGACAACGGAGCCUGUUUGCACCAGGAUAGAGAUUCCGCUCAACUCUCCAUCUCUUCGUCUCUCUCUCUUUCUCAUAAUAUAUAAUAUAUAUAUUAUAUAUAUAUAUAUAUAUAUUAUAAUAUAGAGUAGGGCUACUAUACUCUUAUGAGUAUAGAGCCCUUCAUACUCAUAAGUUGUUUUCGAUAUUGGACUUUUCAAAUCGACGAUCCACACCGUUAAACAUGAUCUAGAGUAUUUGAAACUUCUAGAAAAUAAAUUUCAUAAUUUUUCGAAAUCAUUAUAAAGUCUAUCAAGCGGGUAUAAAAUGAACGGUUAAAAUCAAACGACAUCCUAAAAAUGGAUGAUCGGAUCCUUCAAUUUAAGAUCGGAGUUAUUGAUCUUUAUUUAGGUAGUGAAUAGAAUUUUCUAUAAAAAAUUCAAACUAUUCCGAUUCUUUUUCACCGUUAAACUAGCAAAUAUCUCAUACCGGUUGUUAAAAAUUGUCAAUUUUGUGAACUUUUGAUCGUAAGGUAAAUGAUAUUGAAAAAUUAUAAAAUUUGAUUUCUAGAAGUUUUAAAUGCUCUAGAUAAUGUUUAACGGUAUGGAUCGUCGAUUCGGAAGCUCUAUCAUCGAAAACAACUUACGAGUACGAAGGCAAUCGUACUCGUAAGAGUAUAGUAGCCGGACUCUAUAUAUAUAUAUAUAUAUAUAUAUAUAUAACUGAGCUCCUAUGCUUUUAAAAGUACCAAGUUAUUAGUGCUUGUAGGUUUUCGGCCCUUGGAUUAAGGAAUGUGUGGUUAGGAUAAUAGUGGUCCCCUUGGGUUGAGUGAGUGGUUGGUUGCAUAGUAUAAUCUAGCGGAUGGAAAUGAUCAAAUGAAUAGAUCUAAUGGUGGAAAACUUGCAAGCACCAAGUGCUUGGUACUUUUAAAAGUACUAUAGCCGGACUCUCUCUCUCUCUCUCUCUCUCUAUAUAUAUAUAGAGAGAGAGAGAGAGUUGAGCUGGAAUGCUAUCGGUAGCAAACGGGCUCCGUUGCCACCCAUUUGUUUUCGAUGAUGGAGCCUUCAAAUCGAUGAUCGAUACGUUGACAUGAUCUAUACCACUUGAAGUAUCUAGAAAUCAAAUAUCAAAUUUUUUCGACUUCACUGGCCUAAUGAUCAAAGGGUUUCAAAAUUUGUUAUUUUAAUGGUUGAUAUAAGGCGUUUUUUUGUUUAACGGCAUAAAGAUAUCUAAAUCAAUUGAAUUUUGAUUAGUAAACUAUUUAGAGCAAGAUCUAUACUCUUGAUCUUGAUUACAAGACUCCUAUCAUCAUUUUUAAAGGAUAUUUUCAGCCGUUCAUUUUUGUGUCCACUUGAUGGAUAAGGGAACAAUAACGA
rnacentral:lncRNA from 1 species